rnacentral:lncRNA from 1 species
UCUUCCUCUCAUUAGCUCUACUCAUCUGAAUCUGAAAGUGAGUCUGCAAGUCUUCCUAUAUCUCAAACCGGUCAAACAUUAUUUGAGUGAGUUACUGCUAACGAUAUCGCGCCAUUGCAUCACUAAAAUGCGGGUUAAAUUGGCUCGGAUCCGCAUACAAGAAAUCAAAGAUGUUCAUGUCCCAAUUGAUCCCCCCNNNNNNNNNCCCCCCCCAAUUCGUAACUGUGAUAUUAAGGAGGCAGUUGGGAAAUAUUUGGCUCUUGCAGAACUUUUUGCUCCCUCUGUUGGUAUUCAGCUUCCUCUUUAGCUUUUGUUCUUGGUUAAUGUACCAGAAUCCUUGUUAAACCAUCCAUAUAGCCUUUGUUAAUUGCUUCUUUGGAAGGAAAUAAAAGAUCACCUUCCUCUCAAGGGACACCUGUAGUUUUGCAAAAUUCAUUAAUGAUGCAACAAUUCUGAAAAACUAUCUAUAAUUUGAGCAAAAAUAUGUUGUUUACAUGCUUUAUGAGAAUUCAUAUUGUAAACAUAAGCACUUAAUCCUUUCAUUGAUUGUAAUUUUUCAAAGCUUAUGGUCUUGUGACCCAUUUUGUUGUACUUUUUCAACUCAAAAUUCAUUUUUCCUAUCAUAUUCCAAAACAAA